AUUGAACGCUGGCGGCAGGCCUAACACAUGCAAGUCGAGCGGAUGAAGGGAGCUUGCUCCUGGAUUCAGCGGCGGACGGGUGAGUAAUGCCUAGGAAUCUGCCUGGUAGUGGGGGAUAACGUCCGGAAACGGGCGCUGAUACCGCAUACGUCCUGAGGGAGAAAGUGGGGGAUCUUCGGACCUACCGCUAUAGGAUAAGCCUAGGUGGGAUUAGCUAGUUGGUGGGGUAAAGGCCUACCAAGGCGACGAUCCGUAACUGGCCUGAGAGGAUGAUCAGGCACACUGGAACUGAGACACGGUCCAGACUCCUACGGGAGGCAGCAGUGGGGAAUAUUGGACAAUGGGCGAAAGCCUGAUCCAGCCAUGCCGCGUGUGUGAAGAAGGUCUUCGGAUUGUAAAGCACUUUAAGUUGGGAGGAAGGGCAGUAAGUUAAUACCUUGCUGUUUUGACGUUACCAACAGAAUAAGCACCGGCUAACUUCGUG
rnacentral:rRNA from 1 species